rnacentral:rRNA from 1 species
GACGAACGCUGGCGGCGUGCCUAAUACAUGCAAGUCGAGCGAGUCUGCCUUGAAGAUCGGAGUGCUUGCACUCUGUGAAACAAGAUACAGGCUAGCGGCGGACGGGUGAGUAACACGUGGGUAACCUGCCCAAGAGAUCGGGAUAACACCUGGAAACAGAUGCUAAUACCGGAUAACAACAGAUGAUGCCUAUCAACUGUUUAAAAGAUGGUUCUGCUAUCACUCUUGGAUGGACCUGCGGUGCAUUAGCUAGUUGGUAGGGUAACGGCCUACCAAGGCGAUGAUGCAUAGCCGAGUUGAGAGACUGAUCGGCCACAUUGGGACUGAGACACGGCCCAAACUCCUACGGGAGGCAGCAGUAGGGAAUCUUCCACAAUGGACGCAAGUCUGAUGGAGCAACGCCGCGUGAGUGAAGAAGGGUUUCGGCUCGUAAAGCUCUGUUGUUGGUGAAGGAGGACAGGGGUAGUAACUGACCUUUGUUUGACGGUAAUCAAUUAGAAAGUCACGGCUAACUACGUG